CCGAGAAGAUACCUAAAGAUCUUCCAUUGAGAUCUGAGAUCUCAUACGAGCUGUUGCCUUUUUUUGCAACGAUGACGCACGCUUUAUACUGCGGACCUAACUUCGCGUUAAAGUCCUUUCCAGCAGAUGACAAAGUAAAGCUCCGUUUGAAGACUCGUUGUCCGACAGUGAAUGUAGCAUCAUCGAUCGCGUCGACGGAUUGAGAAACUGUUGGACGAAUUCCAAAGGCCUGCCAGAAGUUAUAUCCCAAGAUGCAACGACGAUUCAAGUUGGGAGCAGCCAAGACCGGUAUCGAAUCAACGUUCGCAGCCAGCAAUGCAAUACGGAAAUCAUCUCGAGUAUUGCGAAACAGAACAUCGAACUUCCUCUUCUCAUCCCACGGAUUUGACAUGCCGCGAAAGAUCCGGACCAUGUCCAAGUAAAAGUCCUGGAACUUCUCCCUGACACCUUGCUUCCGGUUGUUAGCUUGCCGUUCGUAGACGUAGUCGAUGUCGACAGAUGACUUCUCAGUGUUCUCUCUGAUGCGCUCCGUGAAGAUACAAUUGCGAGACCACGGAUCCUUAGCUCGUGUUGCAGCUCAUCUAUCGUCAGAUGGCCAGGAUUCAACGCAUGGUACUGUGCCGACAAAAGAGACAUGCUAGUCUCCGCCAUGUUCAUUCAACAACACAGGAAAAUCGUAGAAUAAAAAUUGAAAAGAACCUAAAAUAUUGCUCAAGUGGAGCUCCCACUCAAAAUUAAUUGAAAAAUCCUAUUGUUGCACACUUUUGUUGCUUGAAAGCAGAUUAUUAAAAAUUUGAAAUCCUAAAAUUUGUUCACGCUCCCUACUGAAGCAAAUAAUUUUAAAAAAAAAACCUAGUUUUAGCCUGUUUUUUUUUUCAAUAAACGUUUUGUUUUUCUUUGGUGUUUUA